rnacentral:rRNA from 1 species
UAGGGAAUAUUGGUAAUGUGCGAAAGCGCGAACCAGCAACGCCGCGUGCACGAUGAAGGCCUUCGGGUUGUAAAGUGCUUUUAGAGAGGAUGAGGAAGGACAGUACUUUCUGAAUAAGCCUCGGCUAACUACGUGCCAGCAGCCGCGGUAAAACGUAGGAGGCAAGCGUUAUCCGGAUUUACUGGGCGUAAAGCGCAUGCAGGUGGUCUUGCAAGUUGGAUGUGAAAGCUCCUGGCUUAACUAGGAGAGGUCGUUCAAAACUGUGAGACUAGAGAGUGGUAGAGGGAGGUGGAAUUCCGGGUGUAGUGGUGAAAUGCGUAGAUAUCCGGAGGAACACCAGUGGCGAAAGCGGCCUCCUGGACCACUUCUGACACUCAGAUGCGAAAGCUAAGGUAGCAAACG